rnacentral:tRNA from 1 species
GCGGGGGUGGUGGAAUUGGCAGACACGCCAGAUUUAGGAUCUGGUGCCUUAUGGCAUGAGGGUUCAAGUCCCUCCUCCCGCA